UGUUUAGUAUGAGUAUAUCCCAUGCAAUAUUUGGAACAUACUUAUACUGAAA
rnacentral:pre_miRNA from 1 species